AGAGGAACCAGACUCAAAAGGGAGCCCAUCCUCAUCUGGGUGACAGUGGAUCGUGCAAUUAUAAGUAACUCCA